CCUACGGGGGGCAGCAGUGGGGAAUAUUGGACAAUGGGGGAAACCCUGAUCCAGCAAUGCCGCGUGUGUGAAGAAGGCCUGCGGGUUGUAAAGCACUUUCAGUUGGGAAGAAACAGCGACCGGCUAAUAUCCGGUUGUCUUGACGUAACCAACAGAAGAAGCACCGGCUAACUCCGUGCCAGCAGCCGCGGUAAUACGGAGGGUGCAAGCGUUAAUCGGAAUUACUGGGCGUAAAGCGUACGUAGGCGGUUAGAUUAGUCGGAUGUGAAAGCCCCGGGCUUAACCUGGGAAUUGCAUUCGAUACUGUCUGGCUUGAAUGUGGAAGAGGGAAGUGGAAUUCCAGGUGUAGCGGUGAAAUGCGUAGAUAUCUGGAGGAACAUCAGUGGCGAAGGCGACUUCCUGGUCCAACAUUGACGCUGAGGUACGAAAGCGUGGGGAGC
rnacentral:rRNA from 1 species